GGCCGGUUAGUUCAAUGGGAGAACGCCGCUCUUACAAGGCGGGUACGAUAGUUCGAUUCUAUCACCGGCUACCA
rnacentral:tRNA from 1 species